rnacentral:tRNA from 1 species
UAGCUCAAAUGGUAGAGCUCAUGCCUAGGACGCAUGAGGUCCUGGGCUCAAGUCCCAG